rnacentral:rRNA from 1 species
GACUACACGAAGCUGGAAUCGCUAGUAAUCGCGAAUCAGAAUGUCGCGGUGAAUACGUUCCCGGGUCUUGUACACACCGCCCGUCACACCAUGGGAGUCGGGAAUGCCCGAAGUCAGUGACCCAACCUUUGGAGGGAGCUGCCGAAGGCAGGUCUGAUAACUGGGUGAAGUCGUAACAAGGUACC